GAGAAGGUCACAGAGGUUAUGGGAUUGGCUUGAAACCAGUCUGUGGGGGGUUCGAUUCCCUCCUUUUUCA
rfam:Pan troglodytes isolate Yerkes chimp pedigree #C0471 (Clint) chromosome 2B, whole genome shotgun sequence.